GUAUCCGCUAACCUGAAAUUCCU
rnacentral:siRNA from 1 species